GUAUCCGGAAUUAUUGGGCGUAAAGCGUCCGCAGGCGGCCCUUCAAGUCUGCUGUUAAAACGUGGAGCUUAACUCCAUCAUGGCAGUGGAAACUGUUGGGCUUGAGUGUGGUAGGGGCAGAGGGAAUUCCCGGUGUAGCGGUGAAAUGCGUAGAUAUCGGGAAGAACACCAGUGGCGAAGGCGCUCUGCUGGGCCAUAACUGACGCUCAUGGACGAAAGCCAGGGGAGCGAAAGGGAUUAGAUACCCCUGUAGUCCUGGCCGUAAACGAUGAACACUAGGUGUCGGGGGAAUCGACCCCCUCGGUGUCGUAGCCAACGCGUUAAGUGUUCCGCCUGGGGAGUACGCACGCAAGUGUGAAACUCAAAGGAAUUGACGGGGGCCCGCACAAGCGGUGGAGUAUGUGGUUUAAUUCGAUGCAACGCGAAGAACCUUACCAGGGUUUGACAUCCUGCGAACCUCUUGGAAACGAGAGGGUGCCUUCGGGAACGCAGUGACAGGUGGUGCAUGGCUGUCGUCAGCUCGUGUCGUGAGAUGUUGGGUUAAGUCCCGCAACGAGCGCAACCCACGUCUUUAGUUGCCAGCAUUUAGUUGGGCACUCUAGAGAGACCGCCGGUGAUAAACCGGAGGAAGGUGUGGAUGACGUCAAGUCAUCAUGCCCCUUACAUCCUGGGCUACACACGUACUACAAUGCUACGGACAAAGAGCAGCAAGUUCGCGAGGACAAGCAAAUCUCAUAAACCAUGGCUCAGUUCAGAUCGUAGGCUGCAACUCGCCUACGUGAAGGAGGAAUCGCUAGUAAUCGCAGGUCAGCAUACUGCGGUGAAUACGUUCCCGGGCCUUGUACACACCGCCCGUCACACCAUGGAAGUUGGCCACGCCCGAAGCCGUUACUCCAACCCUUGUGGAGGAGGACGUCGAAGGUGGGGCUGAUGACUGGGGUGAAGUCGUAACAAGGUAGCCGUA
rnacentral:rRNA from 1 species